AUCUAGUCUAGAACGUUGCUAACAUAGUGUUACACUGCGUACCAUUGCCAGCCAUGUAUUUAAUAUCUCUCGUCGUCAUGACAAUCGUGGUCCCCGCCUGUUUCGAGGCAACGGAGAUAGCCUUUGACCGUUGUCAAAAAGAUGGACAUGACUUUCCGUUGGGCCCCUUCAUGGACCCGGCGAACCCUUGCCGCACGUGCCAGUGCCUGCUAGGGGGCCACUAUGCCUGCAGUAACAUCGAGUGCCCGGCAGUGGACUGCCCCGCCGAUGUACAGGCCCGUAGCGUAGGUGGUUGCUGCAUGGAAUGCCUGGGUGCGAGCCCCAAGUAAUAGAUGGCUUGGAUCAUGCGACAUAAUGGGUGGAUGGCAAGGCAUUGAUUGAAAAGAAACCAGCAACAGAAGACUGUUGUAUUGUUCAAUAUUCUAAGAAUAUGUUAUUACUUAUUUGUUAAUGGCAAACACCACAAUAACAUAAUCUCAGAAAAUGCAAUAUAAUAUUAAUCUAUUUUGUUUGGUACAGUUUUGUUCGAAAAUAUUGUAUUUCGAAUAAAACUAAAAGUUUAA